AAGCGCGCGUCAGGCGGCUACUUAAGUCAAAUGUGAAAUCCCCGAGCUUAACUUGGGAAUUGCAUUCGAUACUGGUUAGCUAGAGUGUGGGAGAGGAUGGUAGAAUUCCAGGUGUAGCGGUGAAAUGCGUAGAGAUCUGGAGGAAUACCGAUGGCGAAGGCAGCCAUCUGGCCUAACACUGACGCUGAGGUGCGAAAGCAUGGGGAGCAAACAGGAUUAGAUACCCUGGUAGUCCAUGCCGUAAACGAUGUCUACUAGCCGUUGGGGCCUUUGAGGCUUUAGUGGCGCAGCUAACGCGAUAAGUAGACCGCCUGGGGAGUACGGUCGCAAGACUAAAACUCAAAUGAAUUGACGGGGGCCCGCACAAGCGGUGGAGCAUGUGGUUUAAUUCGAUGCAACGCGAAGAACCUUACCUGGCCUUGACAUAGUAAGAACUUUCCAGAGAUGGAUUGGUGCCUUCGGGAACUUACAUACAGGUGCUGCAUGGCUGUCGUCAGCUCGUGUCGUGAGAUGUUGGGUUAAGUCCCGCAACGAGCGCAACCCUUUUCCUUAUUUGCCAGCGAGUAAUGUCGGGAACUUUAAGGAUACUGCCAGUGACAAACUGGAGGAAGGCGGGGACGACGUCAAGUCAUCAUGGCCCUUACGGCCAGGGCUACACACGUGCUACAAUGGUCGGUACAAAGGGUUGCUACCUAGCGAUAGGAUGCUAAUCUCA
rnacentral:rRNA from 1 species